UGGUAGAUGCACCCUGGUUGAUGCCCUGGAGAAAAACAAACUCCGGGGUCUUUUUUU
rnacentral:sRNA from 18 species